AGCUCCUAAAAAGGUGGCAUCUGGAGCAUAAGGGGAGACAUGGGAUCGAUUCCCUGUGUUGGCAAAUAAGGUUAUUUAUUUUUAUGACCAGGAAGGGUAAGUGAUGGAACCCAGGUGGAUUCUGUUGGAGGAGUUUGAAGUAGUCAAGUGCAUGGAUUAAGGAGUGAUAAGGGGAAAGAUUUUAGGGAUGAUGGAGAGAUAAGGG
rnacentral:lncRNA from 1 species